CCUGCUCUGAUUUUUCUUUAAGGACGGGUGGUGAUACUGGUGAUAUGGAAGUGGAAGGAGAAAUACAUCCUUUACUCUCUAAGUUGCUUUUGGCCAUGGUGUUUUACUAUGGAAAUAGAAAUCUAACUAAGCACCAGAUAAGAUCACUAGCAACAUAACCUAUAUUUCAUGUGCUACAAUACUAAAAUACAUCCACAUAGACAUCUCCAGUCCUUUUACAAUAUAAUUAAAGAAACUAAUUUAGAAUACAAAAGAUAAAUAUAUCUCCUAGUUGAGUUAUUAACAGGAAAAAUAUGAAAACUGUUGGAUUUAAAUGUCAAUGAUACUCAAAGGUUUCCUUCUUCUGUUUUGAGAUCUGAAAUGUAAAUUUUGUUUCAUAGUGGAAUUUUUUUAAAAAAUAUCCUCUUAACCUUGAAUUUAUGAAAUUAGUUUAAGUUUACAACUGCACUACUACAUCCAAAAAUUCAUAGUGGAUAACAUCUAUGUAUUUUUAAAUGAUAAUUGAGAAUGUGCUUUUGUUAAAUAAAAUAUUCCCACCUGUUCAACUAGCAGACUAUUUUUCAUGCACAAGAAGCAGAGUUUGGUUCAAGUAGGAGUGUUAAAAUAAUGGGCCCUGCUUAACAGGAAAUUAUGUACUCCUGAAGAGAGCACAGAUCGGAUCAGAGCCCGUGAGGGCACAAGAGCUAAGAUUACAAGUUACAUGAGUUGAAUUUCUUCACCUAAAUAUAGCAAUCAUGAGUCUAAGAGAUAAAAAGUCAUAGAGUUGAAUAUUGUACCUUUGUGCAAAUAUGAUGCACAAUUAAUCAUUUUAUGUACAAUUAAUUAUUUUAUGUAUACUAAUUGAUUUAUACAAAGUGUAUAACUAGACAUCGUCUAUUACAUCAUCUAUUAGCACCCCUAGUUCAAUAUUAUUACUCCUCAGGUUAUAUUUUCUGAGAACUCUAAUUGACAGAACAUCCUCAGCAUCCCUAGAAUUUAUAUAGUUAGGUUCUUUUUAUUUAACACCUUCUUCUCUCAUGACAUUUAAUGCGGCUACACAUGAGUCUAACACAGUGGCUGUGUCACGCCUGCAUUUCUGUUAUAAACACUUUAUAUUACAGAUGAGAACUGUUUCAUAACGAUUUCAGUGAACCAGUAAUAAUUCCAUAGUGCUAGACUUAUCCGUUGACAAAAGAGAACUGUGAUCGUCUGGAUGGAAUCUGGGUUCUGGCAGGGGAUCUCUUACACCCUCUAGAAAGCACGGCAUCUUUGCCCAGCUGGUUCAGACUCAGGUGAGUAAUAGACUUCUGAAGGCUCCAAUAAGUAAAGCCUUUAAGUAUAUUUGCAAAGCAAAGAUUUAAAACACCCAAAUAAUAUGAAAUGUGCAAUAAAUUGAUCCACUUUAGAGGGGGCUCUUCUUCUAGCAUGUCACUGUUCCGUGCUGUAUAGGUAUUUUAAAUAGAUACUUCAAAACAAUGUUUUUAUUACGUAAAUGUUCGUGUUAACCCAGUGUUUAUUUGCUUGUUUUGUUGUUUUUAUUUUUAAUAAAUAAUUUUAUUGGCUUAUCUUCAC
rnacentral:lncRNA from 1 species